rnacentral:rRNA from 1 species
AGUCGAGGGGUAACAGGAGUAGCUUGCUAUUUGCUGACGACCGGCGCACGGGUGCGUAACGCGUAUAGAAUCUACCUUAUACUGGGGGAUAGCCUUUGGAAACGAAGAUUAAUACCCCAUAGUAUUAUUUUUUGGCAUCAUUAAAUAAUUAAAGUUUCGGCGGUAUAAGAUGACUAUGCGUUCUAUUAGUUAGUUGGUAAGGUAACGGCUUACCAAGACUUCGAUAGAUAGGGGUCCUGAGAGGGAGAUCCCCCACACUGGUACUGAGACACGGACCAGACUCCUACGGGAGGCAGCAGUGAGGAAUAUUGGACAAUGGAGGCAACUCUGAUCCAGCCAUGCCGCGUGUAGGAAGACUGCCCUAUGGGUUGUAAACUACUUUUAUAUGGGAAGAAUAAGAUCUACGUGUAGAUUGAUGACGGUACCAUAAGAAUAAGCACCGGCUAACUCCGUGCCAGCAGCCGCGGUAAUACGGAGGGUGCAAGCGUUAUCCGGAAUCAUUGGGUUUAAAGGGUCCGUAGGCGGGCAUAUAAGUCAGUGGUGAAAGUCUGUGGCUUAACCAUAGAAUUGCCAUUGAUACUGUAUGUCUUGAAUUAUUGUGAAGUGGUUAGAAUAUGUAGUGUAGCGGUGAAAUGCUUAGAGAUUACAUAGAAUACCGAUUGCGAAGGCAGAUCACUAACAAUAUAUUGACGCUGAUGGACGAAAGCGUAGGUAG